CAAGGGAAUUGGAUUGUCUGAAGCCAGUAUGCUGCAUAAUAGACUGUUCAUCUCUUUGUGUUUACAGGUACAGGGGGAAAACAGAAGCCUCCUGCUCCUUGUCCAGUUGGUCACUACUGUCCACCAGGCACAAAGCAUGCAGUGCAGCACAAGUGUGCCCCGGGCACCUGGAGCAAUAGGACGAGGCUGAAAUCAGAAGAGGAGUGUUUGCUGUGCCCUGCAGGCUGGUUUUGUGUGGGAGGAUCUCAUGUCCCUUCUGGCAUGUGCAGCUCAGGGCACUAUUGUCCUCAAGGUACAUGGAGAGGCACACAGCACCCCUGCCCUGCAGGAACGUAUGGCACCAGGCUGGGAAACAGCAGAGUGGAAGAUUGUACUGCCUGCCCUGCUGGGGCAUUCUGCCCCACUGGGACCUCCAAGCCAGUUCUUUGCCCAAUAGGAACUUAUCGUAUGGAACAUGGUGCAGGAGUGGCUGCAGACUGUGUCCCUUGCCCUGGAGGAUACUACUGCCCCGACCUUGGCACUGUUACACCUCGAACAUGUGGUGCUGGCAACUUCUCAGUAAGCAGCAAUAAUUUCAUCUUGGCAUCUGUUCAACGUAAAAAGUGGAUGAUUUUGGUAAAAAGAGGAGCUAAAGAAUAUAUACCCCUCAAAGGAGGCGUUGGAACGAGGCAAUCUUCUUGCAUUAUGAGUCUGGGUAUUUGAGGAGAUUGCAU
rnacentral:lncRNA from 1 species